rnacentral:rRNA from 1 species
ACGGAGGGUGCAAGCGUUAAUCGGAAUUACUGGGCGUAAAGCGCACGCAGGCGGUUUGUUAAGUCAGAUGUGAAAUCCCUCGGCUCAACCUGGGAACUGCAUUCGAUACUGGGAAGCUUGAGUGUCGGAGAGGGGGGUAGAAUUCCAGGUGUAGCGGUGAAAUGCGUAGAGAUCUGGAGGAAUACCAGUGGCGAAGGCGGCCCCCUGGACGAAAACUGACGCUGAGGUGCGAAAGCGUGGGGAUCAAACAG